rnacentral:rRNA from 1 species
GAUGAAUGCUGGCGGCGUGCCUAACACAUGCAAGUCGAGCGGCAGCGAGUUUUACACUGAAUUCUGGAAGCUUCUGGGUAAUAUAGAAGAUCUAUUCAAGAAUUUUGUGUAAAAUGUCGGCGAGCGGCGGACGGCUGAGUAACGCGUAGGAAUUUGCCCCAAAGUGAGGAAUAACUGCCCGAAAGGGUAGCUAAUGCCGCAUAUGGUCUUCGGAUUAAAGCCUUCGGGCGCUUUGGGAGAAGCCUGCGUUGGAUUAGGUAGUUGGUAGGGUAAUGGCCUACCAAGCCGACGAUCCAUAGCUGGUCUGAGAGGAUGAUCAGCCAGACUGGAACUGAGACACGGUCCAGACUCCUACGGGAGGCAGCAGUGAGGAAUCUUCCACAAUGGGCGAAAGCCUGAUGGAGCAACGCCGCGUGAAGGAUGAAGGCCUUCGGGUUGUAAACUUCUUUUAUGAGUGAAGAAUAUGACGGUAACUCAUGAAUAAGCACCGGCUAACUACGUGCCAGCAGCCGCGGUCAUACGUAGGGUGCAAGCAUUAUCCGGAGUGACUGGGCGUAAAGAGUUGCGUAGGCGGUUUAAUAAGUGAAUAGUGAAACCUGGUGGCUCAACCAUACAGACUAUUAUUCAAACUGUUAAACUCGAGAAUGGUAGAGGUAACUGGAAUUUCUAGUGUAGGAGUGAAAUCCGUAGAUAUUAGAAGGAACACCGAUGGCGUAGGCAGGUUACUGGGCCAUUUCUGACGCUAAGGCACGAAAGCGUGGGGAGCGAACCGG